UACAGAGGGUGCAAGCGUUAAUCGGAAUUACUGGGCGUAAAGCGUGUGUAGGUGGUAAGGUAAGUUAGAUGUGAAAUCUCUGGGCUCAACCUGGAAAUUGCGUUUAAAACUGCUUUGCUAGAGUAUUGUAGAGGAUAGUGGAAUUUCCAGUGUAGCGGUGAAAUGCGUAGAUAUUGGAAGGAACACCAGUGGCGAAGGCGACUAUCUGGGCAAAUACUGACACUGAGACACGAAAGCAUGGGGAGCAAACAGG
rnacentral:rRNA from 1 species